CUGCGGAGUACCAUGUUUAUGAUGCCCAAGGCAAGAAAUUGAGAAGCCAAUUGACUAAAGAGUGGCCACUCAGAUAGGAGGCCAUAAAAUAAAAUCUCUCAAAAAUAGCCAAAAAUAUUCUCAUAGAAGAAAAUCAAACAGCAUUUUGCGAAAGAAUUGUAGUGAAUUAUCCAUUGAGGAAAAGGCCACGUACCCUAUUCCUAAACCACAUCCACUCCCUCUAAAUUACCCCUCUUUGUUCUUCCCAUCUUCCCUCCACUCCAAUAUCGUUCCUCUUUCAGCUUGUCAGAUCUAUCAGUAGAAGUGAUCUCUGCAGGUUAUUGUUUCUUGUGAGUGUAUCAAUAUGGCUACUUCAUCAGUAUGCAUAGCAGGAAAUAGUUUGUCUACUCAUAGAAGGCAGAAAGUUUUCAGGAAGGAGAUUUAUGGCAGGAAAAUUUUAUUUUCCUCAAAUCUUCCAUCGUCUAGUAAAACAUCGAGAAUAGCUGUAAAAGCAUCCCUUCAGCAAAGGCCAGAUGAAGGAAGAAGAGGUUUUCUCAAAUUAUUGCUUGGAAAUGUUGGGCUUGGAGUACCGGCUUUGUUAGGUGAUGGAAAAGCCUACGCUGAUGAGCAAGGUGUGUCUAACUCAAGGAUGUCGUAUUCUAGAUUUUUGGAGUAUUUGGAUAAGGAUAGGGUGCAAAAAGUAGAUUUGUUUGAAAACGGAACCAUAGCUAUUGUUGAGGCUAUAUCUCCAGAAUUAGGAAACCGGGUUCAGAGGGUUCGGGUACAACUACCUGGGCUCAGCCAGGAACUCCUUCAGAAGUUGCGAGAAAAGAACAUUGACUUUGCUGCUCACAAUGCCCAAGAGGACUCGGGUUCUUUCCUAUUCAACUUGAUUGGGAAUCUGGCAUUCCCGCUUAUUUUGAUUGGUGGUCUUUUCCUGCUAUCAAGGCGGUCUCCCGGAGGAAUGGGAGGUCCUGGUGGGCCUGGUAACCCAUUAGCAUUUGGUCAAUCAAAGGCUAAGUUCCAAAUGGAGCCAAACACUGGUGUAACAUUUGAUGAUGUUGCUGGUGUAGAUGAAGCAAAACAAGAUUUUAUGGAGGUCGUAGAAUUUUUGAAGAAGCCCGAGAGGUUUACCGCAGUGGGGGCUCGUAUUCCAAAAGGUGUUCUUCUUGUUGGUCCUCCUGGUACUGGGAAGACCCUGCUAGCAAAGGCAAUUGCUGGUGAAGCGGGUGUUCCAUUUUUCUCAAUUUCAGGUUCAGAAUUUGUUGAGAUGUUUGUUGGUGUAGGAGCCUCUCGAGUCCGUGAUCUUUUCAAGAAGGCCAAGGAAAAUGCUCCCUGCAUUGUAUUUGUUGAUGAAAUUGAUGCUGUUGGGCGGCAAAGAGGGACUGGAAUUGGAGGAGGGAAUGAUGAAAGGGAACAGACCCUGAACCAACUAUUGACGGAAAUGGAUGGUUUCNAGAAAUGGACGGUUUCGAAGGAAAUACUGGUAUAAUAGUUGUUGCGGCAACCAAUCGUGCAGAUAUUCUUGACUCUGCUUUGCUGAGACCAGGGCGAUUUGAUAGACAAGUAAGUGUGGAUGUUCCAGAUAUCAAGGGAAGAACAGAGAUCUUAAAGGUUCACGCGGGCAACAAGAAGUUCGAUUCUGAUGUUUCUCUUGAAGUUAUAGCCAUGAGGACACCCGGUUUUAGUGGUGCAGAUCUUGCUAACCUCUUAAAUGAAGCAGCCAUUCUUGCUGGUCGGCGUGGUAAGACAGCAAUCGCAUCCAAAGAGAUUGAUGAUUCAAUUGAUAGGAUAGUGGCUGGAAUGGAAGGAACAGUCAUGACUGAUGGCAAGAGCAAGAGUCUGGUGGCAUACCACGAAGUUGGACAUGCCAUCUGUGGAACUCUCACUCCAGGGCAUGAUGCUGUUCAAAAGGUCACAUUAAUCCCACGUGGUCAGGCAAAAGGUUUGACCUGGUUCAUUCCUGCAGAUGAUCCAACCUUAAUAUCCAAGCAGCAACUCUUUGCUAGAAUUGUCGGAGGACUUGGGGGAAGAGCUGCAGAGGAAGUUAUCUUUGGUGAACCUGAGGUGACCACUGGUGCUGCAGGCGAUUUGCAGCAGAUCACCGGUUUGGCAAAACAGAUGGUUGUCACUUUUGGGAUGUCUGAACUUGGCCCAUGGUCACUCAUGGAUUCUUCUGCCCAAAGUGGUGAUGUAAUCAUGAGAAUGAUGGCUAGGAAUUCUAUGUCAGAAAAGCUAGCUGAAGACAUUGAUGGUGCUGUGAAGAGGCUUUCAGACAGCGCAUAUGAGAUUGCAUUGACCCAUAUCCGCAACAACCGUGAAGCAAUUGAUAAGAUUGUGGAAGUCCUCCUUGAAAAGGAGACGAUGACCGGAGAUGAAUUCCGCGCUAUUCUCUCAGAAUUUGUUGAAAUUCCUGCUGAAAACCGAGUUGCUCCUGUUGUACCUACCCCAGCAACUGUAUAAUAACAUGAACAUAUGCUUCAAUUUGUACAAUAUACUCAUCCACCUGAUUGAUUCAGGGUAUAUACAAUAGUUUGAGAUAGGUUAUCAAAAAAGUGAAAAUAUUUUAUGCAUGUGUGUUGUAAGCAGUUUUUGCAAUUGAAAUAGAACUAGUAGUUUCUUCAUUGUAAAUUUGUAAUGCUUUUCUCCAAGAUGUGGGAUGAGUUGUUUCAUUUCC